rnacentral:rRNA from 1 species
ACCGCAUGGUACUGAGGGAAAAGGAUUUAUUCGCUUUAGGAUGGACUCGCGUCCAAUUAGCUAGUUGGUGAGGUAACGGCCCACCAAGGCGACGAUUGGUAGCCGGACUGAGAGGUUGAACGGCCACAUUGGGACUGAGACACGGCCCAGACUCCUACGGGAGGCAGCAGUGGGGGAUAUUGCACAAUGGGGGAAACCCUGAUGCAGCGACGCCGCGUGGAGGAAGAAGGUUUUCGGAUUGUAAACUCCUGUCGUUAGGGACGAUAAUGACGGUACCUAACAAGAAAGCACCGGCUAACUACGUGCCAGCAGCCGCGGUAAAACGUAGGGUGCAAGCGUUGUCCGGAAUUACUGGGUGUAAAGGGAGCGCAGGCGGGAAGACAAGUUGGAAGUGAAAACCAUGGGCUCAACCCAUGAAUUGCUUUCAAAACUGUUUUUCUUGAGUAGUGCAGAGGUAGAUGGAAUUCCCGGUGUAGCGGUGGAAUGCGUAGAUAUCGGGAGGAACACCAGUGGCGAAGGCGGUCUACUGGGCACCAACUGACGCUGAGGCUCGAAAGCAUGGGUAGCAAACAGGAUUAGAUACCCUGGUAGUCCAUGCCGUA